UGGUUCAGUGCUAGAAGUUUUGAACCGUUUUACUCUCCUUCGAUACAUUUAUUUCGAUAAGGAUACCAAAUUUACCUUGAACAACAUGUGGUUAUUUGGGAUGAAGAAAAAAACCAUCAUUGAAGGACUGCGUAUAUUUUACUUCCUUGAAUCUCUAAUAACAAAUGGAUGGUGUAUCUAUAAAUGUCAUGGAGUGGACAGUGAUAUGCAAACGUAUGUCUACAUUAUAGGAGUUGUUCUCACGCUUACAAUUGUUGCUCAUGUCUUCCUAUGGUAUCAAACAAACAACACCAGUGAAGGUUAUAUAACUCUUCGUUUCAUAAUUGCCUUGUUGGAUAUGUGUGCUCUAUUGUGUCUUCUGAUAAAAAUCUUUCAGAUGAAGACAGUCGAUAUUUCAUGGGCACAAAUGAUUAAGAAAGUUCUUGCAUCUCUCAAAGCAAUCGCAUAUGCAGUGGAAACUAAUAAACUAUGGAAAAAAUAUGUACGGUUUCGAGACGACCUUUGCAUUGAAUGGUUAUUUUUCAUCACCAUAAUCAUUUGUAAUAAUAGCUAUAGCAUGUAUUAUUGGUUUCUUUUACCCCAACUGAACAAACUACAGAGAAAAUUCAGAUG